rnacentral:tRNA from 1 species
UGCGCCCUACUGGAUUUGAACCAGUGACCAAUAAGUUAUGAGCUUACUGCUCUCACCACUGAGCUAAGGGCAC